UCCAAACUGCACUCAGCCCAAAAGUCUUCAAUAGAAAAAAGGAUAAAAUGUAUAUUCAUACCAUGAAAUAGUAACUACAACAACUGAUACACAGAGCAAAAUGGAUAAAUCUCAAAAACAUUAUGCUGAAAGAAAGAAGCCUUACACAGAGGAGUACAUACUGUAUGAUCCCAUUGGUAUGAAGCAAAAGAUCAGGCAAAGUACCCCAUCUGGGAGGAGUUUCAAUCUCAGCUGAAUGCCCUGUCUGCCUUCACUCCUGCUCUGUGUGAAAGUAUUAUCCGUGGCUACAUUAUAGCAGGAGUUGGAACACUUUCCCAUGCCUUUCUCACACCUGAGUAUAACUGUGGCUUUGCAGGGACAGAGCCUACCUCUUCAAGACUGACUGCCCGCAGCACUCUGACAAUCAGCCACAAUGGAAGAGCUGCUGAAAGAUCACUGGACUGGGAGGCAGGCUGGGAGUCCAGUUUCUCCUUUGCCAUCAGCUUCUUGUGUGGAUUUGGGAGCUCAUUUACCUUUUCUGGGACUCAGUUUGCUUAUGCAUAACUUGAGGACCUGAUCAAGAUAAUUUUACUUCUAGCGCUAAACAAUCAAAAAGUCUAUCUU